AAUAAGUGUAGUUUUUGCAUUGUUCAUAUCCAACGUUUGAUCAUUCGUCUUAUUUGAAUUUUUUUUAUGAUUAGUAUCUUUAUUGUUAUUAGAAGCUAAAACAUGAAUAGUACUUUACGUAUGACUAAUUUAUUUUAUUUAUUUUAUAAAUUUUUCAAAUAAGACAGACGGUCAAAUGUUGGACACGGAUUUCCACGGCUGCACUUAUU
rfam:Oryza rufipogon genomic scaffold, chr03